UAAGAUUUCACAUUAUAUUUAUGACUUAUGCAUGUUUGUUGGGUAUAUAUUUGAACAUUUUUUGUUCUGUUUUGAUUUAUUUACAUGCAUGUGGAUUGUGGCUAAAUCUGUGUUUGAUGAGUUUGUUACUUUGUUUCACUAAUUAGUUGGUAUGUUUGAUGAAUUGCUUGAUAAUGACCUACUAAAUCACUUAUUAGUUUGUACUUUGUAGGUUUGAUGACUUACUUUGAUUCACUUAUUACUUUGUUUUUCUGGCAUAUCAAUCUCAAAUAAUCAACUCAGAAGAAUAUGUGCUCAUCAAUGAGAGUACUAUCCCUUGCAAUGUUCUAGAAAAAAGUAUUAUUUCCUGAAUCAAAGCAUAUAAUCCACCGCUUUACUCAACAGGUUAUAAAACACACUGAGGUGUGUCAAUUUGUUUUAUUUUUUAAAAUUUUCUCACUCUUAUAAUUUGCUAAAUAAUAACAUGCCAUAAUGAUUGAUAGAAGGAAAGUUACUCUUACCUAAAUCAGUAACUUGAGAUAGGGUCUUUUUGAAGCUUUUUUAAAAGGUCUUUUGGUGGCUUUUAACUUUUGGUAACAACUGCUUCUUCAGAAUGCAGAAAUUGCUUCCUUAUUUGAUGGAAUCUUGUUUUGGUAGAUGCUUUUGGUUGCAACUUAGAGUAAUCUGUGUUUCUAUUACUUCAUUUAUUUGAAUCAGGUACGUAGCCAUCUAACUAUUUAGCUUGGUGGAUCACCUUCAUCAUUGCCUUCACAAGAGAUUAUUGAAAAGCUUGAGGAAAUUGAGCAAAGUAAGGCUAAAUGAUAUACUAUCAAACAGUAUUUACUUACUAUACUAUGACUUGAUGAGUAAUAAGAUGUCUUUUUUAAACUAGAAUUGUUUUCCCAAAACUUAUCUAGUGGCUCUAAUUCAACCCAUAUCACUAUUGAUGAAGACUGAAGAGUAGUUUGGAAGUUUUGAUAGGUAACUUUCAAUUGUGGCCACUAGCUAGUUGCUAUACAACUUAGUUUACUUUGCUAGCUAGCUAGCUUAUUCAUCUUUCAUUUAUUUGGAUAAUUGUGAAUGUUAAAGAGUCCCACAUCGGACAUAUAUGAUCUGAACAAUUGUUUAUAAGUGGGGAUAAUCCUUUCUUGUGAUCAUAUAGCAUUGAUCUCAUUGUUGCUCCUGCCUCCCUUGAAUUCCCAACAAGUGGUAUCAAACCAUGGUUCCGAACCAGGGACGUAAGGGUUUUGAAGAAUUUUUUCUUUAUUUAUGGAACCUGGCAACAAAGACAGUAUCUAACAAAAUAGUGUUUCUUCACGAGGAGUCUCACCUUUGUAAGGGUGGUAUUCAUCAGAUAAGCAAAUGGUCACUAAAUGCAAGUUGGAUUUUUUGGUUUGGUUAUCAUAAUUCUACAUACACUUAUAAGAUUGUGGCAUUUUAUCAAGAGAUUAACGAGGUGAAAGUUUUUAACAUGGGUGAUGAUGUUUGGAGAAAUAUUCAGAAUUUUCCUAUGAGUGGCACCGUUAACUGGUUGGCCAUUCAGAGUAUUAAUAUUGGUGUGUAUGUGAGUGACAUUGUUAAGUGGUUGGCCAUUCGAAAUGAGUUCAUAUAUAAUCAAUUUGUGAUGAUUUCCCUUCAUCUGAGUAUAGAGACCUACAUUUAGUUUCUACCCCUUGUGGUUUUGAUGAAGUGGUGUUUGUUGAACCCACUUUGACUAUGUUGAUGGAUUCCCUUUGUUUUUCUCAUGAUUUUUAUGGGAUUCAUUUAGUCAUAUGGCAGAUGAAAGAAUUUGUAGUUGAAGAGUCUUGGACACAGUUUUUUAACCUUAGUCACCUUAGUCUUGUACCUAAUUAUUAUGAAAGAAUUGUUCCAUAUUAGUUUCCAAACCACUUUGUUCCAUUGUCUUUCUGUGAAUGGCAAUACACUUGUAUUGGCACGGGAAGGAAAUGAUUCGGCCAGUAUCUAUAAUUUGAGAGAUAAUGGAGGAGGAGAAACUAGAAAUUAGGAAUCAAAUACAUUGGUUUUGUGCCAUGAAUUAUGUUGAAAGCUUAGUUUCAAUUGGUUUCGACUAAUUAAAAGUUUCUUUUCAAGUAUUUACUUGAAUACAUCGAUUGAAUUUUGAAUAUAAAAAAUCCUCACUUUGCAAGUCGGUUAUGUAAGGUUGAGUUAGACCCAACCACAAUUUUAAGAUAGUAUCGGAGCGCAGUUUAAGAUCUGUUGGGCCACCUGCCAUCAUGUUUCUGCUAUUGCGCCACCCACUAUUUAUAUCCAUGCUCCAGAUGUGCAGUCUUUAGUGUGGGGGUGUGUGUUAAAGAGUCUCACAUCGAACAUUAUAUGACCUGAACAAUUAUUUAUAAGUAGGGGCAAUCCUUACUUUUCAAACCGAUUUUAUAGGGUUGAGUUAGACCAAAUCCACAAUUAUUAAGAAUGAUCAUGCGUGUGUUGCUUGUGUUUCUUGCUUUUGUUGCUUUCAACUAAUGUAGUAUUGUAUAUUUCCCUUUGACUUCUUUUUGCUUUUCCCUACAAGAAGAUUGCAGUGUGUGUGCUUCAUGUGUUUAUGAAUUAUGAAUCUUCAAGUGUGUUUAAUGUAUUUAUUAUGAAUCUUCAAGUGUGUGUAAUAAUAAGUCUUCAAGCUAUGGUUUUGGGCAUAUACCAGUGAUGGUAGAGUUUUGGUGGGGUUUCUUUGUUCUAUGGUGAUUAUUUACCUGAUUUCAAUCUUCCUGAGAAUAUAUAUUGUUACUUAGUCAUUAGAUGAGUUUAGAGGAACUCUAAUUGGGCUAAUUGGGAGUUCACCUUCUGCUGCUCCUAAAGGUGCUUCCUUCAGCCAUAUGUUAUAAGUAUUUUAGCUGGUUGGACUGAAAAAGUGGGUCCCACUGACUGAACAUGCUGAUCUUAAUAAAGCACUUAAUCCUUGCUUAUUUUAUGAUUUGAAUACUAAUGACUAUUUCGCAUUCCUCUGUUCAAUUAGGUAUGAUGCUAAGAAAAUUCAGGUUUUCACUAGAGAACCAACUAGUUUAAAUAUUUGUGAAAAUGAAAAGAAAUUUGUGAGUUCUGAUAUUUAAAUUACCCUUCUUUCUCUAUGAUGUUUGCUGCAAACAAUUGAUUGGUUAAGUAUAUAAGGGUUGUUAUUAAUGGAACAAUGGAUUCUCAUCUAUCUUCCAUUUUGAAUUUUCACUCUAUUAUAAUACUCUGUUGCUAUGAAAGUGGAAACACAUUACCAUGCAUUGGUUAUGUAUUGGGUGAGUCUUGUAAUGUUGCAACUUCUAUUAGCUUAUUGUACAAACUUCAAAAUAAUCUGUUGUUGCUGUUUCAUGAAGUUGUACUCUAAACUUCUAUGUAGUUGAUGCAGUUUUUUCCAAUAAUGUAUGGAGAUGAAAUGGAAUCUGUGAAGUAAAAUGUGAUUUUAAGAUUGUUUAUUCAGAUAGUUCUGGUUUUGCAUAUAAUUAUCAUGUCUGUUAGAUAUGCAAUGGUAUAACUUCUCAGAAUAAUCCCUUGUGAGAAAGGGGUCUAAGAAAACAGAUUAAUUAAACCACCAAAUAAGCUAAAUUAUAAGUCCAUGGUAGUCAAAUUACCUUUCUUUCUCUUAGAGAUUGGAGCUGAGAUUAUUUUGAAUUUGAUUUUGGAAAGUUUGUUUGAUUUUAUUUUGAAGUUGAACUGUAAUUACAACUAGGUUGUUAUUGCUGAAGCAUGGUGCAAUUAAGUAUUUAGCUCAGUGCUUUAGUAAAUUUCAUUUUGAGAUUUCUUGCUUCUCCCUUUGUAUAUUUGUUGAAGGUUAUGAAAUGAUCAUUGUUGCUGUUUAACACCCUCUAACACACACCAGUAAUAAUCAACCAUGUUUUCUCUAAUUUAACGUAAUAAUUUAUUUUAUUAUUAAGUGCGCAUCAAAUAUAAAUGAAUAUAUAUAUUUUAUUUAAUUUAAAUUUAAAUUAUUUGUGUUUGUAAUAUACACUGUCAUGUUUUCAUGCCUGCCUUUUAUAUUUGGUGUCUCUUAAAGUAAUUGUCAUAAUAAAAUAAAAAUAAUAAUAAUUUAUUAUCAAUUAUGAAUAAAUAUAUUAUAUGUCUCAGAAAUUAAAAAAAAUAGUAAUAGUUAAUUAUGAAUCAUCAAUAAAUCCAUAAAAUGCAAUAUUUAAUAAUGAAUUAUUAAUAAAUGUUAUAAAUGUAAAAUAAAUGAAAUUAUAAAUACAAAAUACAGUGAAAAGAAAAGGAAUGUCAGAAUAAUAGUUAGAAAAAAGAAACAACACAAGUAAUAUACAUGAAUUUUGUUUAUAUCUUUCUAUUUUAAGUUUCUCUUUUUCACACACACUAAAAAAAACAAUUAUGAACGUAUUUCCUAAUACCCUAUAUAUAUAUUUUUUAAUCACCACAAGAAAAUAUUUAAGUGCUUUCAGAUUUCGGAGAUGUAUCUCUGUAUACAUCAAAGUUUAAAUUAACGUUAAAAUAUUUUGAAGAUGCAUCUAUAGAAAAAUAUUGAAAAUAUAUCUCUAAAACGAUUUGGAGCUUAUAUCGCGUCAGGAUCUUUCAUCAUCCUGAUUUCUCAUUUCACAAAAAACACUUCAAAUUCUCUCAAAUUCAUUCUCAUCAACAAGUCCAAAAUCAAGCAACCAAUGUCAAAGGAACUUCAAUCAACAUCAUAAAUAUCAUCAAACACUAAAGUAAAGUGAAGAAUUGUAAGUUUUUUAAUGUUUUGAAUAGUUUUUGAAUUUUUGUAUAAAUGAGUAGAAAUUGAUGUAUACGUUAGGAAAUCGGUAGAAAUUGGAUGAUUGAUAGUUUAGACAUAGUGUAAAACAUGAUAGUUGAUUGAACAUGAUGAUCAAUACAAUAUUUUUUUUGGUUUCCACAUCUGUAUCUCCAGAAUUUUUCAACGUUUUAUUUUUCUAGCAAUCAAAGAUGCAUCUCCAGAAUUUUCUCUGUUAUUUUUUUGUUUGUUUUUCUUGUUUGUUAUGUUGUAUGCUUGCACUAAUUGUCUGAUUUACUUUAACUUAUACACAUAAUUAUUGAUAGACAUGAUAAACUAAGGCACGUGAGGGUUGCACAACACGCAUCAGAGCAGUGGAAGAAGAGUCAACAGGUUUUUGAUGCUCAUGGUCCCUCUGACCAUGCAGAACCAUUUAGUUCUAGGGCUAGUGUUUCUCCUCAUACUUCUCCAUCUUUUUCUUCCUGUAGGAGACGAGUUUCACCUACCAACACACCAGUCUCUACACCCCCCGCACAUCAGCAAUUCAAUGAAUUAUGUUGUAUAUCUACGAUACUUUCAUAAUUUUGAAUGGAUCAAUGAGUACAAUUUAGGGGUCGUUUGUUUGGUCUACUUGUACUCGAAGUUAUCAGAGGACUGUAGGUGAAAGAUGAAGGAGGUCACAGACAACAUCACACUAUUGGCGGCUUGGAUCCUCCUGCACUUCCCAUGCAUCUUCGGCUGAGCGAGUGUACUGAGUUACUCUAAGGAUGUGUCGUAUGCUACUGCAUUUGUCCCACUGAGAGGAGACCAUGCGAUUGAGUCGUUCAGAGUGUAUCUUGAUCGCUUGGUUUCCGAGGACAUGCACUUCAACAGUUAUGUCGAUUCUCGUGAGAUGCGACCAUUUGACGAAAUAGUGCUAUACUCUGGAUGGUUGGUCUGCAGAUCAUGUCUCAUUGCUCCUCACUUGUUCGAGCGCGCGAAAAUUCGACUACACUCAGAAGAUUCUAAGACACCUUGUUGUAUCUGCUCCUCCUGCUUUGACACGUAGACAGAUGUAUGACAUGUUUGAUGAUUAUGAGAGUCAUCUGGUAUCGAAGGAGGCACGGAGUACCAUAGCCCCGAGCGAUUAAAGUUACGUGGACAGGUACAUCAGGUGUUUCUUCAGGGUGUCACAUCCGUAUAUGGUGCAUGCUACUCCAAGAGAUCCACCUAGGUCAGCUCAUCAUGAGAUACUAGAGGAGGAGCAUGCAUAAUUAUAUCAUGAUGAGGAUUUCUUGCCUAAAUACCAUCGCAUUCUGGAGAUUGCGCAGACAGACAUUGACAUAUGUAUCUUCCCUUACGGGUAUGGUGUGAGGUAGGUCCUACAUGCCAUCAUGACAGAGGCACGAGGGACAUUGAUGUACCGGAGACAGCGUCGGAGGACAGAGAAUUGAUGGUCGAGGAGGCAGAAGCGAUGUAGUCCGACAUAUAGUGCAUUAGUAUAUAGUAGUAGUACUAUGGAUUGUAUUCUAUUUUGACAUCAUGCUACUUUAUCAUUGUUCUCGACUUUUUUUUUGCCA